UACGGGGGGAGCAAACGUUGUUCGGAAUUACUGGGCGUAAAGGGCGCGUAGGCGGCCUGCUAAGUCGAACGUGAAAUCCCUGGGCUCAACCCAGGAACUGCGUCCGAUACUGGUUGGCUUGAAUCCGGGAGAGGGACGUGGAAUUCCAGGUGUAGCGGUGAAAUGCGUAGAUAUCUGGAGGAACACCGGUGGCGAAGGCGGCAUCCUGGACCGAGAUUGACGCUGAUGCGCGAAAGCCAGGGGAGCAAACGGG
rnacentral:rRNA from 1 species